AAUGACCGGGUGGGGGUCACAAAGGACACUGCGGGGCAUCAGCGGGGAGUGAGUGUGACUGAGGCAGCCAUGUUGGUGCGGGGCAUUUGCAGCAAGUGACUGAUUGAGGGGAGGCUGCUGCCAUGUUGGUGCAGGGCAAUUAGUGGAAGUGACUGUGACUGAAGAGUAUGGAAGACAUCUUGGUGAGGGGCGUUUGUAGCAAUGGCGACCAUCUUGCUAACAAGCACAAGCCAUCGAUUGAGACCAAGGAAUAGUGAUGGAAAAUGACUAAACGAUCUUACUAAAUCCACCACUUUUCGCCAUUGAUAAAGAUGUUGCCUCCAUCAUGCAGAGAACGACCUUGCACACUACGCGCUCACGGUCCACUGCCCUCGAAUGACGUUCCUCUAUUGGCACCAACAUGGAGAAAGCCGACCCGUCAAAUUUGGUUGGAAUCUUGAGCAGAUUCCCACCAUCAUCUUCUAUGUCGAUGGAGUGAUCUACGAACCGACAUUUGAUUCUCGACAGUGGGCUCUUCCACCCGCCUCGUCCUAGCCCACACCUCCCCAUCGGAGCCUGCUGGAACGGUGAGCUACAACAAC